UGGAGAGUUUUUGAUUAAUUUAAAACUUAUUAUUUUAGGUAUUUUGUGACGAAAGGUCUUCACAGACAUCGACAGAAAAUCGGGAAAGCCCGGCCAGAUGCGUCAGACCACGCAAAAUGGAGGAUUCCAUGCCUACUUGUCUUCUUCUACCAUGUAUAGGAACGCAUGAAAAACGAAAGUUUAAAAGAUAAUAAAUUUACGAUGGCUGUGGGAAAGCAACAAUAAUUUAAAGCAUCGAUAUAAGAUAAUCAUCUAUAAACUGUUUUCGGCCAUAGCGAAUACGUUUACCGCUAAGAAUGUCUCAAAGUAAAAAAAAGAAGUUCAAUAUACUGGCAUUGGUUUCACCAAGAACGAUGAGCGAGAAGCGAUUAGAAAUAUAAAACUGGAAACGAGUUGGGGCGUCCGGCUGCGACCGAAGCGAGUUUUUGAAUGCGAGUUUGACGUUUUAAACACCGUAUUUAAGGUUAAUAAGGUCUACAAGCUUCGAGAAGGAGGUCAACCGCCGAAUCCAACUUGGUUGGGCAGCGUUCGGGAAACUACGUAAUGUCUUUUCGUCCGACAUACCUCAGUGCCUCAAGACGAAAGUCUUUAAUCAAUGUGUGUUACCAGUGAUGACUUACGGCUCCGAAACGUGGUCUUUCACUAUCGGCCCCAUCUCAAAAUUCAAAGUCGCUCAACGAGCUAUGGAGAGGGCUAUGCUCGGAGUUUCUCUGCGUGAUCGAAUCAGAAAUGAGGAGAUCCGUAGACGAACUAAAGUCACCGACAUAGCCCACCGGAUUAGCAGGCUGAAGUGGCAAUGGGCAGGCCACAUUGCGUGCAGAGAAGAUGGCCGAUGGAGUCGAAAAGUGCUCGAGUGGAGACCACGGACUAGCAAACGCAGCGUAGGACGUCCACCCACAAGAUGGACGGACGACCUUGUUAAGGCCGCCGGAAGACGCUGGAUGCGGAUCGCUUCCAACCGGUACGAGUGGAGGUCCAAGGGGGAGGCCUAUGUUCAGCAGUGGACGUCUUAUGGCUGAGAUGAUGAUGAUGAUGAUGAAGGUCUACAAGCAAAUAUCAGCCUUCGUGAAUUAAGUAUUGUAACCUUAGUCACAGAAUAGUAGUACAGUGGAACCUCGAUAGCACGGAUCUCAAGGGAAACGCCAAAACUUCGUGUUAACGAGGUUUUAUCUUAUAGAGUGCAUCGACUUAGAGAGGUUCUUGUAGGUUUUUGUUAGUCUUAAAAACACAUUAAAAUUCGUAUUAGGCAGGUGAUUAUACAUAGACACGUAAAAAUACAGUUUCUUUUUUUUUGAGUUACAGAGGUUCGUUAGUAAUAUCGAUAUAGAUGUGGUAAAACAAUACGACUAUUUUUUCUAGUCGCAUGGUC